rnacentral:rRNA from 1 species
AUUGAACGCUGGCGGCAGGACUAACACAUGCAAGUCGAACGAGUGGCGGACGGGUGAGUAAUGUCUGGGAAACUGCCCGAAGGAGGGGGAUAACUACUGGAAACGGUAGCUAAUACCGCAUACCAUCGGAUGUGCCCAGAUGGGAUUAGCUAGUAGGUUGGGUAACGGCUCACCUAGACGACGAUCCCUAGCUGCUAUGAGAGGAUGACCAGCCACACUGGAACUGAGACACGGUCCAGACUCCUACGGGAGGCAGCAGUGGGGAAUAUUGCACAAUGGGCGCAAGCCUGAUGCAGCCAUGCCGCGUGUAUGAAGAAGGCCUUCGGGUUGUAAAGUACUUUCAGCGAAGAGGCGUUACUCGCAGAAGAAGCACCGGCUAACUCCGUGCCAGCAGCCGCGGUAAUAC